GUCUGUGGGGUCUGUGGGGUCCUGUGGGGUUCUAUGGGGUUUGUGGGGUCCUGUGGGGUCCUAUGGGGUCUGUGGGGUCCUAUGGGGGCUGUGGGGUCCUUUGGGGGCUGUGGGGUCUGUGGGUCCUAUAGGGCUGUGGGGUCCUAUGGGGUUUGUGGGGCUGUGUGGGCUGUGGGAUCCUAUGGGGUCUGUGGGUCCCACCCGUGUCUGUGGGCCCUAUAGGGCUAUGGGUUCUUUGGGGUCCAAUGGGGUCUGUGGGGUUGUGUGGGGUCUGUGGGGUCCUGUGGGGUCCUAUAGGGUUCUAUGGGGUUCUGUGGGUCCCAUGGGGUCCUAUAGGGUUCUGUGGGUCCGGUGGGUCCUAUAGGGCUGGAGGUUCUGUGGGUGCUGUGGGUCCCAUAGCGUUGUGUGUCCUAUGGGGCCCUAUAGGGUUCUGUGGGUCUUAUGGGGUCCUAUAGGGUUCUGGGGGGUUCUGUGGGUCCUGUGGGGUCCUAUAGGGUUCUAUGAGGUUCUGUGGGAUCCUAUAGGGUUCUAUGGGGUUCUGUGGGUCCUGUGGGGUCCUAUAGGGUUCUAUGGGGUUCUGUGGGUCCUGUGGGGUCCUAUAGGGUUCUAUGGGGUUCUGUGGUUCCUGUGGGGUCCUGUGGGGUUCUAUGGGGUUCUGUGGGUCCUGUGGGGUCCUAUGGGGUUCUGUGCGUCCUGGGGGGGUUCUAUGGGGUUUUGUGGGUCCUGUGGGGUCCCUAUAGGGUUCUAUGGGGUUCUGUGGGUCCUGUGGGGUCCUAUAGGGUUCUGUGGGGUUCUGUGGGUCCUGUGGGGUCCUAUAGGGUUCUGUGGGGUCCUGUGGGUCCUGUGGGGUCCUAUAGGGUUCUAUGGGGUUCUGUGGGGUUCUGUGGGUCCUAUAGGGCUGGAGGUUCUGUGGGUGCUGUGGGUCCCAUAGCGUUGUGUGUCCUAUGGGGUCCUAUAGGGUUCUGUGGGUCUUAUGGGGCCCUAUAGGGUUCUGUGGGUCUUAUGGGGUCCUAUAGGGUUCUGGGGGGUUCUGUGGGUCCUGUGGGGUCCUAUAGGGUUCUAUGAGGUUCUGUGGGAUCCUAUAGGGUUCUAUGGGGUUCUGUGGGUCCUGGGGGGUCCUAUAGGGUUCUGUGGGGUUCUGUGGGUCCUGUGGGGUCCUAUAGGGUUCUGUGGGGUUCUGUGGGUCCUGUGGGGUCCUAUAGGGUUCUGUGGGGUUCUAUGGGUCCUGUGGGGUCCUAUAGGGUUCUAUAGGGUUCUGUGGGUCCGGUGGGUCCUAUAGGGCUGGAGGUUCUGUGGGUGCUGUGGGUCCCAUAGCGCUGUGUGUCCUAUGGGGCCCUAUAGGGUUCUGUGGGAUCCUAUAGGGUUCUAUGGGGUUCUGUGGGUCCUGGGGGGUCCUAUAGGGUUCUGGGGGGUUCUGUGGGUCCUGUGGGGUCCUAUAGGGUUCUGUGGUGUCGCAGGGUGACGCAGGGACCUCAUAGAGACCCAAAGGGGGUCGGUGGCACCCCAUAGGGACCCCAUAGGGACCCCAUAGGGGAACACCCAUAGGGUGACACCGGGACCCCAUAAAGACCCCAUAGGGGGACACUGGGACCCCAUAGGGACCCCAUAGAGACACCUGUAGGGUGACGCCAGGACCCCAUAGGGACCCCAUAGCGACCUCACGGCUGCCCCAUAUUGGGACGCCCAGAGGGGCCCCAUAGGGGGACUCCCAUAGGGUGACAGCGGGGCACAAAUAGGGUCACCCGUAGGGACCCCAUAGGGGGACUCCCAUAGGGUCAUGUAGGGGCUUUACAUGGGGUCAGCCCAUGGGGGACCCUAUAGCGACCCCAUAGCAGCCCCACACGGACCCCAUAUAAGGACCCUAAAUAGGGACCCCAUAGGGUGACACCGGGACCCCAUAGGGACCCCAUAGGGUGGCGCCAGGACCCCAUAGGAACACCAUAGGGACCCCAUAGGGGGACACCCAUAGGGGGACACCAGGACCCCAUAGGGACCCCAUAGGGUGACACCGGGACCCCAUAGGAACCCCUUAGGGGGCCACCCAUAGGGUGACAUGGGGACCCCAUACGGACCCCAUAGGGACCCCAUAGAGGGGAACACCCAUAGGGGGACACCGGGACCCCAUAGGGACCCCAUAGGGACACCCAUAGAGUGACACCGGGACCCCCUAGGGACCCCAUAAGGACCCCAUAGGGAUCCCUUAGGGAGCCACCCUAUGGUGACACCGGGACCCCAUAGGGACCCCAUAGGGUGACACUGGGACCCCAUAGGGACCCCAUAGGGUAACGCCAGGACCCCAUAGGAACUCCAUAGGGUCCCCAUAGGGACACCCAUAGGGUGACACCCAUAGGGUCACGCUGGGACCCCAUAGAGACCCCAUAGGGACCCCUUAGGGGGACACCCAUAGGGGGACACCAGGACCCCAUAGGGACCCCAUAGGGUGACACCGGGACCCCAUAGGAACCCCAUAGGGACCCCAUAAGGACUCCAUAGGAACCCCUUAGGGGGCCACCCAUAGGGUGACACGGGGACCCCAUACGACCCCAUAGGGACAGCCAUAGGGUGACACCGGGACCCCAUACGACCCCAUAGGGACCCCAUAGAGGGGAACACCCAUAGGGUGACACCGGGACCCCAUAGGGACCCCAUAAGGACUCCAUAGGAACCCCUUAGGGGGACACCCAUAGGGUGACACGGGGACCCCAUACGACCCCAUAGGGACAGCCAUAGGGUGACACCGGGACCCCAUAGGGACCCCAUAGGGACCCCAUAGGGUGACACUGGGACCCCAUAGGGACCCCAUAGGGCGGGGCGCAGUGUCGGGGGGGGGCAGUGCUAAAUAUAGGGCAGCGCGUGGCUGCCACAAAUAGCGCCGCGGGGUAUAGGGCCGCUAUGGGGCGGGGG
ensembl:lncRNA